rnacentral:sRNA from 2 species
GAUGCCACUAGUCGGUUGGGCUGAAUGCUGGCCCCCUCGUUUUAUGUCUCGUUUAGGGAUCCGCACGUCUGCAUUUCAAGACGUAGGCGGGCUUGAAUGCCACGAGAGCGUGUGAUUACUGUAUUUCCACAACAAUACUCCGUAUAGCAUAGGGGGUUGGGGUGUGCAUCCACACCCCGCCCAGCCUGACAUCUUUUCCAGGGAAACCCAACGGGGUUUUAUCUCUAGAUUAUGGCCCAGGCUUAACGCACGGGAUGGGCAGUAUAUGAAUCAUCAGCAUGUUUUCAACCACCCUGCGAUCACCAUGCUUGUAGGGCCUCAUAGGAUUCAUGGCACAAAAGUUAAG